GCGUUUUUUUGGGUGUUUGUUUGUUUAUUUGUUUGUUUUGCCUCCGUUGGCCUUGCUCUCUUCAUCCCAGGGGGUGCUCUGAUCUAGCCACUGCAUAAGCUUCAUGAUAGAGUGAGCCCACCCUUGCCUUAAGGAGGUGAGUGUGUUCUGCAAUAGAAUCUACGGAAUGCUUACCAGCAUGGAUGGCACUUGCCUCCUGAAAUCGCAAGAACACUGAACUGACGCUUGGGGGUUGUUUCCAGGUCCUGCCCAUAAGCUAUGAGCUCACCUUCUUUGAAAAGCUAGAUCUAAAGUACUGGAUCUCAACCUGUGGGUCAAGACCCCCCUUCACGGGGUGAGGGGGCACCUAAGAAUAUCAAAAUAACAAAUACAUCUAAUGCAGAGCCCUUCUUCGUACCUCGUUUGUACACAAAAGUACUUGUUAAGGAAAAUGAGAGUCCAUCUGUCCUGAGAACACAACACCUUGCUAUGGCUGGAGGUACCCCAGGGCCCAGAAGGCUCCGGCCCACAGCUCUGACACCUGGACCUGUUUUGCCUCACCGCUCUACCAUGUUGGCCUUCCCCUUGCUUCCUCCUGUCCCUCCAAUAAUGACCAUGGACAGGGAGAGGCCUAGAUGAUCAGAAGUGAACCUCAACAGGACCAGAGAAGCAGCUACACCCCAUGAAACGACAACUCCAACCUCACCAGCCUGGCCAUGCCACUACAAAUUAAGUGAUGUCCAAAUACGUGGGGCAGACUCUGAGGCUCGGACAGUGGUAAGAGGCCAGAGAUAAGGGAGUGACAGAUCCUGGGAAGGAAAAUUGAACAUCAUUCACAAAGCCAGAGGCUAAGGCAGGGCUGAGGCAUCUGGCUGGUUCACAAAGGUCUGAUUCCUUCCAGGAGGCCAGCAUGUGAGCUCACCCCUAUCAGAGUGUGCUCUGGAGCCAGGGUCCCUUCUACUCCUCAUUACUCCCAGCUGCAUGUUCCUGUUUCUCUGACGUGACUAUGGAUAAUGCUGUGCAGUGUGAUAAGCUGUUGAGCAGCCUAGUCGUAAACAGGUGAGAGUCUCUGGUCUCCCCUCUCAUCCUGAAGGAGGAGAUUUGGUGCCUAAUUCUGAAGGCUGACAUUUUCAGAGGAACAUCAACUGAUUAGAAAC